rnacentral:rRNA from 1 species
CAGAGGGGGCAAGCGUUGCUCGGAAUCACUGGGCGUAAAGGGCGCGUAGGCGGGAUGGCAAGUCGGUCGUGAAAUCCUUCGGCUCAACCGAAGAACGUCGGCCGAUACUGCCGUUCUUGAGGGAUGCAGAGGAGAUUGGAAUUCCCGGUGUAGCGGUGAAAUGUGUAGAGAUCGGGAGGAACACCGGUGGCGAAGGCGGGUCUCUGGGCAUCUCCUGACGCUGAGGCGCGAAAGCGUGGGGAGCAAACGGG